rnacentral:rRNA from 1 species
CGGACGGGUGAGUAAUGUCUGGGAAACUGCCCGAUGGAGGGGGAUAACUACUGGAAACGGUAGCUAAUACCGCAUAACGUCGCAAGACCAAAGAGGGGGACCUUCGGGCCUCUUGCCAUCGGAUGUGCCCAGAUGGGAUUAGCUAGUAGGUGGGGUAACGGCUCACCUAGGCGGCGAUCCCUAGCUGGUCUGAGAGGAUGACCAGCCACACUGGAACUGAGACACGGUCCAG